rnacentral:lncRNA from 1 species
GUAGAUCCUGUAGAUCACCGUCCCCUUUUCAGACCUAUGGUCUCACCUCUUGCCAGCAGAGGGCAGCACAGAAGAUGUUUUUCAGCAGCAGCUUUCCACCUUAGCCUCUCCAGGUCAAUGUUAACUCAUGGUGACUAAGAGACAGGAUCAAGAGAUCUACUCCUCGGAUGUUACUUGGAAGGCAAUGGGGUCCCCUAUUCUUAAGCCAAAUGUAUAGGGAGACUAUGUUAACUGGUUAGUCAUCAGUAAGGCUC